GCCAGACUCCUACGGGAGGCAGCAGUGGGGGAUAUUGCACAAUGGGGGAAACCCUGAUGCAGCGACGCCGCGUGGGUGAAGAAGCGCCUCGGCGCGUAAAGCCCUGUCAGCAGGGAAGAAAAUGACGGUACCUGAAGAAGAAGCCCCGGCUAACUACGUGCCAGCAGCCGCGGUAAUACGUAGGGGGCAAGCGUUAUCCGGAAUUACUGGGUGUAAAGGGAGCGUAGACGGUGAUGCAAGUCUGGAGUGAAAGGCGGGGGCCCAACCCCCGGACUGCUCUGGAAACUGUAUGACUUGAGUGCAGGAGAGGUAAGCGGAAUUCCUAGUGUAGCGGUGAAAUGCGUAGAUAUUAGGAGGAACACCAGUGGCGAAGGCGGCUUACUGGACUGUAACUGACGUUGAGGCUCGAAAGCGUGGGGAGCAAACAGGAUUAGAUACCCUAGUA
rnacentral:rRNA from 1 species